ensembl:lncRNA
ACGUGCCUUUGGAUUCAUCUUGACCAUUUUUAAGAAUGUGUUUCCAUGUGUCAAUAAAAGUGCAAUGGGUUUAUGUCGCAUCACUUCAUGGUAAUCAAUCAUAUUACUUUAAAGAGUUUUUUAAUAGGCACUGCUUAUCUGGAUUUUUCUGAGGUGACUGAGGUGGAUACCAAUACAAGAGACAUUGCUACAGUAUUUGACCAUAGUUGUUUCAUACCUGCUACAUUAAUCUUGAACACCAGUUUCUCUUUCCCAGCCUCACAGAUGAACUCUCCGGCAUCCUUCUAUCCACACUGUCCAACACCAACUGACGAGUGUUUCCUUUUGUCUCAAUGUGGAGGAUUUUACUGGAGCUCAGAAGUUUGCCAUCUUUGACCAUUUCACUUCUGUCUUUGAGUCAGAAACCUCACAGCUCAGAGUGGCUUUCUG